GCACUAUAAUAUCUAAUCUUUGAAUUAAAAAGGAAAUCGAUAAGUUUCAUCAUUCAUCCAAUACAAAAGAAAUUUAGCCUAGCAUCAUGAUAUUCAAAUUACACACAAGAAAAAUGAAAAGACAUCAUCCAAAGUAAAAAAAUAGAUGAAGAAUUCAAAAACUUAAUUUCUUGCAUGAAAAUCUUCAAUUCGAGCCUUGAACUUCAAAUAUUGUUGUAGAAAUCUUCUUCUCCACUUGCUAGCCUCUCUUCAAUGAUAAAAAAUGGUUAAUAAUAUUCUGUACCUUUUUUAGGUUAUGAAGAUACAUAAAAUAUCAUAUCAAAACUAGCCAAUUCAAAAAAAAAAAAAAAAAAAAAAAAAAAAAAAAAAAAAAAAAGGGAAACAUAAUUUUUUCUUUUGGAGUUCUUCUAAGUGUAUGCCUAGCUAGGUGAAUUUGGCCUCUGAUGGCCUAGAUGAAGGGCAUGCUCAUAGGGAUGUGUGCCUGGGUUACGUCUCAAGUAAUCAUCAAUAUUUUUGUAAUAUCUUUCUUUUUUGAUAUUCGAUUGAGGUGAUUCAAAGCGCGUUGAAAAGUAACUCAAAGGCAAUUUUUCUAGAUAUCAUUUUUGCAAUUCGAAUGUUUACUACACCAAAAAUAGAUUUCAAUCUGAGGUUAAAAAUUUAGAGCAUAAUUUUUUCGACUGAAAAUUGAUGUGUGAUAAUACUUUCGACUCCAAUCCACAACCAAUAUAAUUCACCUUGGUUGCUAUUCAAUCUUACCCACGAAGGACAAGAAACAGUGAUGAUUUGUAGCCAUAAAGGUAAGAAAAAAAUACUAUAGAGGUAGGCUAUGAAAGAACCACCAAUUACAUAAAGUAAAUGAGCGUUUGGACACUUCUAGGGGCCUUUUUCACACACUUCAAGGGGCAGUCGAGAUUCUCCUUUUCUCACACGCAAACAACACAAAUCAUACUAGAAAGUGGCUAGGGUUUAUUCCUUAUAAAUAUGCUAGAGUCAGGCUUUUAAUUGGACCAUUAAGAAAGGUAAAUGAGCCAAGAUUCAAGCCAUCCAAGAGGGUAUACAAUUGAACUAGGUGGAGCUCAUGGAUUUGGUUGUUAGACUUAUUUCAUUUAUAGACCUAUGCCUAUGAAAUAAUUAACCCACGUUAACAUAAUAUCCCGGAAUUUAUUGGGUAUCAAAAACCCAACAAGUCUCCGCCUUGAUAUCUAAUAAAUCUGCAAGCAAUCAAAACACACAGUUAGCAUUCGUAUAAUCAAGGGAGCCAAUAAAAUUGAAUCACAGACAUUAUCUCGUGUUUCCAACCUGAAACACAUACUAUACCUACUCUAUAUACUCACCGGGACUAAGGUCAAGAACACCCAAGUAGAAACAAAAAUUCAACAGUAAACAAUCAAGAGCAAGUACACAUGCAAUGACGAUAUAUUAUAGGAUAACACACAUAGAUCUUUUCAAAAACACAUUCACAUAGAACCAUAGAUUACCACUAAGUCAAUCAAACACACGGUCAACCACAUAUGCAACAAAUGCAUAAAUGACCCACGAAAAAGAUCUCACCACACUUAUCAUAUCUCAUUCCAUGUUGCUCACACCUCGAUAACACAUAUCUCCUCUCAUCACCCACCAUGCUGACUAGAUUGAUCACUCAUCUCAUGUCUAACUGGUAGGUAAAUUCUAAGUCUACGGGAUAAUCCUCUAUCACCACAUCACUACUCCCAACCUACGUGGAUAAUGGAUUUCUAUCUAACAGAAAUGGUAGAAGUGUCUCUCUCACAUUUCAUUUGAUCAGGGUCUCUUUACAGAUAAAUGAUUCUAGACAUUUAACCACAUCUCCACCCAUGAUCCAAAUGUCACACUCCACAUCCUUGGUACAAAUCACAAUGUAUCCCUAGACAUCUAUGCUCCACCUCACCAAAAGACAUACACCGUAUUGCAGAUGCAUCCUAACCCACUAUACAUGCAAGCAAUUACACUAAAUAAUCAUAUUGCCUCAAAUUUAUGUAAAUGCACAUAUCAAGCACAUUAAAAUGAAACAUAUAAUCAUGCAACAAAAUUAGUUAAUCACACGCAUGCAGAAAGGAUCGUACUCUCAAUAAACCUCGUUAGGAUCAUCACUCGACCCUAAAGCCAUUGGGACAAUCCCUAAUAAAGUACCCAGACUUAUCACAGUUGUAACACCGUCUACCACUAGACUUGUCACGUCCCUUGCCCUUCUUCUUACUACCCUCAUCACUUGAGUCACUACCGUCUUGAGUUCUACCCAAAUUCAUUUGCUUAAACUUCAUCUCAUUCCUCAUCAUAUGUAACACACCAUUCCUUUUAUCAUCUUUUUCAGCCUUAAUCUCCAUUUCCUUACUCUUAAGUGAGUCUUUGACAAUCUCGGGUGUUAAAGUAUCCCUAUCAUACCGAUAAGUACGUUUUUUACACACUUUUUUGGCCACAAAACAUGACUAAUUGUUGAUCAAAGCGUUUGAAUUAUGGCUUAAUUCUAUGUAAUUAUGUUUUGUAGGACUAUAUUGAUGAAUGUGACGAAAUUCAAGAGAAAAGAAACGAAAAAAGACCAAAAAGGAAGGAAAUCCAAAGUAUGAGGACUAAAGUGCAACAUUUCAAUAGUUGAUUCGGAUCACAAAAUGAAGAUUAAAGAUGUUGCAGGUUCAAUUGGAUGCAAUUAAAAGUCAAAGGGUUGAAAAUGCAAUAGAAAGAGCUUCAAACAAUCAAGAAUCGAUUUCGGGGGCUAAAAUGCAACAUUCGAGAGUUUUUUAUAACUAAGCGGCAGUCCAGUUAUUUUGAGUGGGCGACUGCCCAAAGCAAAAAAAUAAUUAUCGAGAUGAAAUCCUUGGGCCAAUCGCAGUGAAAAAUUUCCUAUUUCCUGUCGCUCAGGCCAAUCGUAGCGAAAAAAUUUUGAUUUCCUAUUUUAACCGAAAUUUUUAUAGAAACAAAUCUUUAGAGAUAUUUAACAACACUAGGGCCAUCCCUAAGCAUACACCAUGCAUUAUAACACAUUUAUAAGGGUUUAUAGAGAGGAGAACAAGGCAAGAACGAGAAGAUUGACAUCAAGAUGCAAUGAUUCAAUUCAAGAUUUAAAGCGUUAGUCUUUUCUUUAUGAUUUAGAUUGUUUUCUUCUUCCCAUUAUGUUAUGCUAGAUUUUUAUGUACUAGGAGAACGAUGAACCUUGUAAUGUGAUUUUUUUAUUCUUUUUUCUAUAUUUUUGACAUUAAAACUCGUAUUGAAUACUUUGAAUGGUUUAUAUGCAUUUAAUUUUUUUCACAAUUAAGGGCCCAUAAUUGUGUGAAUUUGUGUGUUUGUGUGGGCUUGAUAGCCUUGCCGGUUAUGAUGUGACUAUUGGAAUAAUAUAAUUAGAAACUGUGGAUAUGGUGCAAAACUUACUUAACAUGUAUUUGUUGAUGUAAUACUUGACAAUUCUUUGUACACGCUACUCAUGCCCUACAUGUUAGGUUAGUGAUUGGAUUUUUGAACAAAAUAGGAAAAACCAAAAAACCUCUAAUGUAUUGACCCCUAAGCCCUUUUUAAAAUAGUUUGGAGAUGGUUGAACAAUUAUAGGGAAACUUUGAGAAGAGUGGGGGCUUUGUGCAUGAAUUUUUGUUGUGCAGAUUGCCUAAAUCAGUGAGAUGAACAUUAGGUGAAAGCUUUAAAUUUGGGUUGGUUUUGAAAAUUGAAUGUUUAGAAAAACAAAUAGGGGCAUAAAACUAAUUUGUAUGAAAAUAACACUUCUCUCAAAGGCUUUAUGAUUUGACCAAGUAAGCCUAUAAGGUUAUUUUGAAAUCUGGUGCCCUAAAGCCAACUGGUUUGGGAGUCAUCGACCUAAAGUUCGUUAAAGGGGUCAUAUAGAAAGCAAGAAGGGGAGAAGUUAAUAAAAAGUCAUCUGAUCGAGCUUUUAUAACUCGAGUGAAUAAGCCUACAAGAGUUUAAAACCUGAUGCUCUAAAGCCAACUGUCAUCGGCUUAAAGCUCGUUACAGGGAUUAUAUAGAAAGCAAAUGAGAAGAUGAUAAUAUAAAAAAAAAGUAGAAACAAGUGAAUAAAUGACACAAUAACAUUAAGAAAGCCCUUGGACAUUUGGUUGACGAAACUACACGUUUGAUACGAGGCUAAUAACUUUGUCCAAUCUUGAGGGUUGAAGCAAUAAAAACUAGGAGAGCCUUUACUUGUUAACAUGUGAACUUGUAAGAGUGAAACUUAUCCAAGCUAAGAGAGGGAAAUGACUGCAGUUAUUGAAACUCCUAACUUUAGAACACACACAGGGACAAUUGAGUGAAAAGAAUAAGUUUGGUGGUGUGUAUCUCUCGAGCGAAGAGAUGAUAUAUUUGACCACUACGGGCAGGGAGAAAACCAAUCAUGAGCUUGACAUGUAGGCAUGAGUUUAAACACACACGUCAAGUUAUGCAUUUACAAGUGAAGGUUGAUUUUAUUUUUUUUCACUGAUGAAACUGUUUCUUAUGUUGAUUACUAAAUUCCAAUCUUAAAACACGACAGGUUGUUAAGUCAUGUUUUGUGUAGAGUUAAGUCAUUACUUGUUUGAGGACAAACAAUAGUUCAAAUUUGAGGGGUUUGAUAAGUACGUUUUUACACACUUAUUUGGUCACAAAACAUGACUAAUUGUUGAUCAAAAUAUUUAAAUUAUGACUUAGUUCUAUGUAAUUAUGUCUUCUAGGACUAUAUUGAUGAAUGUGGUGAAAUUUAAGAGAAAAACGAGAAAGGACAAAAAAUGAAGAAAAUCCAAAGUAUGGGGACUAAAUUGCAACAUUUUAAUAGUUGAUUCGGAUCACAAAAUGAAGAUUAAAGAUGUUUCGGGUUCAAUUGGAUGCAAUUAAAAGUCAAAGGGUUGAAAAUGCAAGAGAAAGAGUUUGAAAGAAUCAUGAAUCGAUUUUGGGGGCUAAAAUGCAACAUUCAGGAGUUUUUUUUUAUUUUUAUAAUUGAGCGACAGCCCAGUUAUUUUGAGUGGGCGGCUGCCCAAAGCAAAAAUAAUAAUUACCUAGAAGAAAUCCUUAGCUUGGGCAACUGCCUGUCGCCUCAGGCCAAUCGCAGCGAAAAAUUUCUAGUUUUCUAUUCUGACUGAAAUUCUUAUGGAAACAAAUCUUUGAAGGUAUAUAACAACCCUAGGGCCAUCCCUAAGCAUACACUACGCAUUAUAACACAUUCAUAAGGGUUUUUUAGAGAGGAGAACUAGGCAAGAACUAGGAGAUUGAUAUCAAGACGCAAGGAUUCAAUUCAAAAUUUAAAGCGGCGAUGUCUUUUCUUUAUGAUUUAGAUUGUUUUCUUCUUUCCAUCAUGCUAGGCUAUAUUUUUAUGUACUAGGAGAUCGAUAAACCUUGUAAUGUGAUUUUUUUAAUUUCUUUUUCUAUAUUUUUGACAUUAAAACAUGUAUUGAAUAAUUUGAAUGGUUUAUAUGUAUUUAAUUUCUUCCGAAAUUAAGAACUCAUAAUUGUGUGAGUUUGGGUGACUUGUUUCUUGCAUUCGAGAGAAGGGAAAUAGGUUUGACACGGUAUAAAUCUUCGUAGGGUCUGAUAGUGAAUAAAGAUAUACCGCUAUGCUUUACGUGAAUCUUUAAGUACUCACAAAACUACAUGCAUUCUUGUAUAUUUGCACCCGUCAUAGAGAUAUAGGUUGGUGGUAUAUGAAAGUAGGUUCAACUUUGCUCGAGAGAGACUGUUGGAUAGAUUUAGGAACAUUGAUUCUUCAUAAUUUCAACGUGUUGUGAAAUUAUAAAACUAGGGUUGAAUUAAGCAUUGCUUGGAGAUUCGUGAUCCUAAUGCGUCAUACAAUUACUAAAUACAUUAAAUUGUGUUCUUAACAUUUAAUAGCAUUUUAGUUCAUUUAAACAUCAAUUUGCAUUUUGUUCAUUGUCUGCAUUAUUAAUUGCAUAAUUAGUUUAGGUUAGGGAAUAAUUAGGUUGUAAAAUCACUUGUAAAAAUUUAGUUUCGGUUAAGGCAUGGAUAAAUAACAUUGAACUAAAUCAAUCUAUGUGGGAUGAUAUUCAAACUUAAUUUUUCACUGUAUUAUUUGUCACGAAUCGUACACUUGCGGAUACAAAUUGAAAGAAUAAUUUCAUUAACACAUACUUAAUUGCAUUUUUAACCUCUCUAUAUGAAUCAGACAUGGAAUUAAGCAAAAUGAUAGCCUUAUAUGUUUCAGAGACAUUUUCAUCACAAUUAACAAUGUCUUGAACUAAUUUGUUAAAGACAUUCUGAUUGUCGCCAAGAUCCUUUGAAGGAUCUAUUUUAAAGUUGAAAAAAUCUUUCAAGCAAUUAUAAUUUGUUAGGAGUAGAUUUAAGAAAAUAUAAGUCUUCCAACUUUUUCCAAAGUUCUUUAGUAGAAUCAAGUUUUCCUAUUUUUCUCAAAAUAGUAUCAGAUGGGUGUAAAUAAUUGAAAUACACGUAAGUUCAUCAUAUUUUUCUUUUUGUCCUUUUGUUAAAUUUGCAGGAAAUUUGUCAUCUAUGACUUUUCAAACUGUUUGUUAGAUUAAAAUACUAUUAAUCUUUUAUUGCUAAAUUGAAAAAAUCUCCUUUCCCAUUAAAAAUUUCAACUUCAAAAUGUGAAGACAUUUUAAGAAAACAGAACAACCAAAUGCACAAAUAGAUCAUACAAAAGUAAUCCUAAGGUCGCAAUAUAUACCGUUCUAGAUUCUCAAGAUUUCGUAAGAUUCAUGAUAUUAUAUCAAUGAAACGUUCGAACAGGUCAAGUCUACUUGUUCUAACGGGAUAAUCAAUGCAACACGGAGGUAUGUAAACAAAAAUUCAAAUUCUCACGCAAUGCAGUCUCAUUCUCACAUAGUGACUAUAUGACAGUUAAAGAACAAAAUCAACUACCAACUUAUAAUCAAAGUUCAACACUUCAAAAAUAGGCAAAUAGCUCCUAAAUUUCUAGCACAAAUAAUAUUACCCCCUCACGGUAACCAAAAACCUAAUGCCACCCCACACGAUGACAAGCUAAUGUUGAAAUUUAAAUUGGGAUAAGCCUAUAUAUUAGAGCAGACCAAUCUGAGUCCGUAAAUUUUGAGAGAAGCGAAUUUAUCACUUUAGGACCAUCACUAUUCGUCUUAAAGUCUCUAGUAACUGCAGCAACCAACAAAUCACGAUCGAAUCUUGGUUGUCCAAAGAGCAACUUUGCCCAGAUUCUACUGCACAACCUGAAACAAAAAACUUUCAACACAGAAAUGUCAGAAAAUAUCACUAGGAACAAACUCCCUGAAGAGAUCGUUAUCCGAAAACUAGCUACGUACCCUCACAUACGGCUACUUUUCCUAUGCGUGGUCCUCAUGCGCCGGUCAUCCUAGAUUGCCACCACCUGUACGUCACACUAGUGGUCUGCAUUUUUCAAAACUCCUUCUGGAUUGGUCAGAAAACACGAAACAGGGGCUGAUUUUUGACAGUUUUCUAGACAAUUUUUCGAUUCGAUUUCUGCUUUGUUUCAGUUGACUUUCUAGACUUUUUUUUGGUAUGUUUCACAAGCCAAAAUCACAAACUUGAAGCUCUUGUACCAGAUGUUACGGAAGCUCUCUCCAAGGAUCUUCAAAUCAGUGGUUUUUCGAACUCAGUCCAAUGUAUCUUUCUCUACCAACAACCAAACCAACCGGCUUCGAUCCACAACUAAUAUAAUUCACCUCGAUUUCUAUUCAAUCUUACCCACAAAGGAUAAGAAACGGUGAUGAUUUGUAGCCACAAAGGUAAGGAGAAAGCAUAAAAAGGUAAGCUAUGAAGGAACCACCAAUUACAUAAAAUAAACGAGCGUUUUGAAUACUUCUAGGGGCUUGUUUCAUACACUUCAAGGGGCAGUCGGGACUCUCCUUUUCUCACACAAAAACCAUACAAAUCAUACUAGAAAUUGGCUAGGGUUUAUUCCUUAUAAAUAUCCUAGGGUUAGGCUUUUAAUUGGAUCAUUAAGAAAGGUAAACAUGCUAAGAUUCAAGCCAUCCAAAAGGGAAUACAAUUGGACCGGGUGGAGCUCAUGGACUUAGUUGUUGGACUUAUUUCAUUCAUCGGCCUAUACCUAUGAAAUAAUUAACUCAUGUUAACAUCACAGCCCGAGAUUUAUUAGGUGUGAAAAAUCAAAAAAUAUUCUCAAUUCUUAUUAGAAGAUUAAUAUGGAAGCAUGCCCUCCUUAUUUUGGUACAUUACAUAGGUCUUAUUAUCUCGCAUUGCGUUGAAUAUUUUGGUUAUUACAGUAAUUCUUGCUAUAAGGUGAGAAAUUUUCUGUUAGUGUUUUGUAAAGCUUGUUAUCUAAGUUUAUACCUUCUUGCUUGGAACUUUCAAGUCUACAUUUAAGGGGGGCAUGUUUAAGAUCAUGCCAACAUAGUUUUGGUCCUAGUUUCUUGUUAAGUACUUGUUGGCCUCGCAAAUUGGACCCUCCAUGUGGCCAAUCGAUAGCUACUCCACGUAUUCCUCCCUGCGCACAAUCAACGCACGGUCAAAUGUACACGGCCGGAACCAACGGGGGCGGCGGCGUCGCAUACACUCCGACAGUUAAGUUAGCUCAUGGUGAUCCGAACAGUGCCAAGGUUGUGGAAAAAGGGCGGGGAGGAGAAUAUAUAUUUGCUUGUUAUGCAGAGCUAAGUUGUAAGAAUUUCAUUACCUUUGCCUCUUGUCAAACCUUGGGUAUUUAUAGUUGAGGAGAACCGUUGGAUGUGGGACAUGUGUAUGUAUCUGACAGUGUGAGGCAUCUGCUCAUAGGCAUCAAUCAGCUGCGUCUAUAGAGUUUGGGGGUAAUUACUUCUCCCGAAUUGAGUUGACAUAAAGUUGAUACGUCACAUCAACUAGGCUCAUGGAGAUGUCAAAUGAAUUAAACCUUGGGGACAGAAAGGAUCUUGACACAGAUCUCUUUCUAGAAUUAGCGGCGUAUCCUCUGAAGAGAACCUUGGAAUGUACUUCACCUCGGCUUCAGGGACAAGGACGCUUCGGUUGGUUCAGUAGAUUGUCUGUGCCUCGCAGUGCGUUAGCAGAUUGACAACAUUGGUGGUGGCGUCACUUCGAAACCACUUCGGAUGGGUAUUGAACACCUCGUAUAAUGCGGUGGUAGACUUUUCGAAGUGGUUCAGAUAGGGGCGUAACAGUGGUCCACCCAAGUUUAGGCAUGAAUAUUUAUAUCAUGGGUGGACUUGUUUUUCCCAUCGGGUAUGUCUGCCUCGGGAUAAGGACCGUGAUUUGUGAAAACUUGUCAAUCAGUUUUCUGUGUUCACCGAAGCAUUGACCUCAGGCAAACGUGCUAAAGCUUCAUUACUGCGUAAGGAAAGAACUUAUCCGAGACCGAUGUGCUGCCAACUGGAUGAUGCGUCAGGAGACGACCGAAGUUUUGUAAAGCUUAGGAGGAAACGUAGCUACCGAAGCGAUGACCUACAGGGGACUCCACGUCAGGUGCGUCUAAGCUUCGUAAAGCUGAAUGAGGAGCUCAUCUGCCAUCGGUGUGCUGACCCACAGGGGACGACGCGUUGGGAGAUAGCUAAAGCUUUGUAAAGCUUAGGAGGGAACGCAGCUACCGAGGCUAUGACCCACAGGGACUCCACGUCAGGUGCGUCUAAGCUUCGUAAAGCUGAGUGAGGAGCUCAUCUGCCAUCGGUACGCUGACCCACAGGGGACGACGCAUUAGGAGAUGGCUAAAGCUUUGUAAAACUUAAGAGGGAACGCAGCUAUCGAGACGAUGACCCACCGGGGACUCCGUGUCAGGUGUGUCUAAACUUUGUAAAACUGAGUUAGAAGCUCAUCUACCACCGGUGCGCUGAUCCACAGGGGACGACGCGUUGGGAGAUAACUAAAGCUUUGUAAAGCUUAGGAGGGAAAGUAGCUACCGAGGCGAUGAUCCACAGGGGAUUCCACGUUUGGUGUGUUUAAGCUUUCUAAAGCUGAGUGAAGAGCUCGAUCUGAGGUAGGCAUCUCUGACGUUAAAUGAUUUGACAGCUGUCGCGUAUUUCCAAGGUGACAGUUGGGUAUGACGCCCAUUCCCCUAAAAGGCUACUGCGACUAUUUAUUGUAGACGACCGAUGGUGAUCAAGUCGACACUUUUUAUGCUAGUUAAGGGGCACAGCCAGAUCUUAAGCGUAGAUCAAAUCUGGCAUUUCAUUUUAACAGCCUAGAUUGAUGAUGCGACAGACGACCUUGAUUGAUUGCAUUUGAAUUGAACGGUGGGGAUUAGCUGGGUCGCUCUAUAAAAGGUGGACUUGAGCAUUUGGGUAGUUUUUCACUUUUGCAAAAUCAGAAACUUCCUUUGCUCUAAAAAAUCUUGCACUUUUCCGCAUUCGUCAAGCAUUUUUCGGUGAGAAAUUCCAAUUUUCGGUGACUCUACAGACUCUGCUAAUCAUUUUUGGCUGUGGAACUCCAAAUUUCGUGAGUUUCAGUAAGUGUUUGAAACCCUUUCAUUUCUGAAAAAUGGCUUUUGAGGGUAGUGGUAGCUCGGGGAGGGGGUUGGAACUAGUGCGGAUGGACGAGCCCAUUCUGGCGAUUUCCUCCGAAAUAGCCGAAGCGAUAAUUGGAGGAGAACAUAUGGAAGAGGCUAGAUAGCCCCAUAGACACAUUAGUACAUUGGGGAGCUUCGGAUUACCCCUCUAAGCUAAAGGGUGCUGACCUGGAAAGACUUAGGGCUGAAUAUAGGAUCCCUGAUAGCGUAGAUAUGAUCCUGCCCAAACAUGAUGAGCGGGCCUGCUACCCUAGGCCAGGGUACGUAGAAAUUAGUGAGGCUAUUCUUAGGGUUAGCCUCAGGCUUCCGAUCCACCCAUUCUUCCGUAUGGUACUUAGGUCGUAUGACUUAGCUCCUACCCAAUUGAACCCAAACUCGGAGCCAAAUAGUGGGCUCCUGGAUGUUGUGGAAGGAGGCGUCGCUUGGGGUAGAGAUGCCCUUCUCUAUUUUUUAGACCCUCUAUAUCUCCAAGGUGGCGACUGGGUGGGGAUAAGACCAGGGGCUGGUUUACCUGACCUCAUGGGGUUCCUACACUCCAUUCGUGCUUGAUCUACCGAGCUCUAUUAAGGAGUGAAAGAGCUCGUGGUGUUGGGCUAUCGGGAGAUGGGAAAGGAUGGAGGGGACCCCCUGGCGCCUCUUAUGGUCCCCAUGAAGUAUUCAACACUUAGUGAAAAACUGUUGUUUUACGUUUUCCCUUGUUCGUCUUCGGUUCGGAUCAUAACUAAUAUUUGUGUUCUUUUGAAGGCACUCUUCCUUAGUGUAAGCUUUCCAUCGAAACUUUGACAUCAUCUGCAUUAUCUAUCAGCUACCUCCAAAGAAGAGAUCAUACCACCAGCUGAUCAGGAAAAGCAUCCACUUCGUGAUGCAAAACUUGAUGGCCUCUCAAGGUAAAUGUUCCAAAGCGAAUGCCUUUCAGUACUUUCCGAACUCUUUACACUUGUACUAAUUUGCUUGUUCCCUUGUAGAUUACUUUAACAAGAAGCUGCCUCUGAGGCCAGACUUCAAAACCAUCCAGAAGAUGAUGGCAAAGGCGAGAGCCCUGAAGACCUCCUCCUCGGCGUAUAAGAAGCAGAUGGAGGAUCUGAUGGAUGCCAGCAAAAGGCUCCAGCCUCCAACCGAGGAGGAGGUGGUGGAAGACCAAGACGCAAACCUACUGCAGAAGGGCAAGAAGCCUGCUGUCCCCAUCGAAGCACCCAACUGUGGCGAGGCCACCUCCGAUUUUGAGGCAGAUUACCAUUCCUACUGGGGUAGCCAUCCCGAGCGGGCGCCUGCACCAUCAGAGGCUUCUCCUACCCCAACGACAUCACUAGUAGCCGCUGUGCCAAUUGCCCAAGUGCUUGGGUAGCCAAAGAGGAAAAGAGCCCGUCCCUCAAAGGAGGUAAACUUUUUGGGCACCAAUUCACAGGAGCUAGUAAAAGAAGUAUUGGAGGCUCUUCCUCCUGAGACGGUGACAGUGGUGAUGGUCCAAAAUAAAUAUUGGACCGAAGAGUGGAGAGACCACACCGCCUCAUGCACUGCCGAAGACUUGGUCUUGGCGAACAGUGCUUGCAUGGCCCUGGCUCUCAACACGAGUAUCCAACUCAAAGGCUUGGUGAAAGACCUGAAUGCUAAGAUGGAAGACCUCGCCAAGCGCCUCAAGGAGGCGAUGCAGUAUCGAGACGCAGUGAGAGAGGCUCGAGCUAAGGCCUCGGAAGAGGAGAAGGCGAGGAAGGAAGCCAAGGCUCAGCUGGCCACUGCCAAGGGAGAAAUAGAGUGGCUGAAGAAGGAGCUCUAUGAAGUGGAGUGCCAUGUGGCUGCUAUCACCAGGAGAGUGGAUCAUGCAAACGAGCACCAUCGACUCGCCACGGAGGCUCUGGAGGCUACAAAUAAAGAAAAGAUAAAGCUGAGGCAGAGGGCAGAUGCCCAAGCUGAGGAGAUCGCCUCCCUGAGGGAGGAGCUUAAGUCGAUACGGAAGGUAGCUGUGCAGAACUUCAUCGACCACUUCGAAGAACAUCCCCUGUACGAUGAUUUUGCAAACUUUUGGGCCUCUUGGAGUGCCCAAGGACUAUUGGGUUGGCUGAAAGAGGUCCACCCCACUCUGGACAUAUCCUCAUUAGAAGCAGAGUUCAAUGGACGUACUGGAGGUCGGCCUGAUAGGUUCGUAGAGGACGCUCCAGAGGCCCAUGGGACAGGCGAGGUGGAGUUCGGGGUGGAAGAUGUCCCAAUAGAAUAGAGUUAAUCAAUCUUUGUAAUGGCUUUGGCCUCUUUUGUAAUCCAAUUCCAAAUGAAUGAAAUGAAAAAUUUUUGUCAAGUAUUAUUGCUUUUGCUUUUCUAUUGUGUUGAGCUGUUUACAUUUAAGAAUAUGAAUGACAACCACUUAAGCAAACAUUAAGUGCCUCUUACCAAUAACCAGUUAAUAACAGAAGAUCGGAUGAAUUAACGUAUUGAAGAACUGAGGUAACAAUUUACUAAUCGAUGUGACAAAUAACUAAAGUAUCAUUCAUUACUUAGAGGAGUUAUAUCACUCUUCACUAAGGCAUUUUCAGCACUUAGUAAGAUAGGGAAGUUACAAAUGAGAUUGGAUCAAAACACAAGCUCCUAAUUGAUAGUACUUCCUCAAAUGUUCAAUGUUCCAUUGAUGAGGCAGUGCUUUCCCUGUCAUGUCUUCAAUUUUAAAAGUGCCAGGUCAAAAUUCCCUAUGGAUGUGGUAAGGACCCUCCUAAUUCGGUCCCAACACUCAGGACCCAGUUGGCUUUGAUGAUUGGAAUACCCUUCUAAGGACGAGGUCUCCCAAACGAAGAGUCUGAUUUCUGACCUUGGAGUUAUAAUAGCGGGUCAUCUUUCUAUGAUACUUUGCCAAAUUCACCUGGGAGGUAUCCUUCCUUUCUUCAAGGAGGUGGAGUUCGCUCAUUCGAGCCUCGUCGUUACCGAUCUCAUUGAAGUGUAUUCGACGGUGCGAUGGGACUCCUACCUCAGCCGGGCUCAUGGCCUCGGCUCCGUAGGUCAUUGAGAAGGGUGUCUCCCCUGUUGCGGUUCGGUUAGUUGUUCUGAUGGCCCAGAGGAUGUGGGGAAGCUUAUCGACCCAAGCCCCCUUGAAGGUGUCAAGCUUCCCUUUCAGGGUAUGCUUGAUAGUCUUAUUUACUGCCUCAACUUGCCCAUUUGCUUGUGGGUGAUGAGGUGUUGAGAAAUCAUUCUUUAUGCCCAGUUCGUCGCAUAAAUCUCGCAUUUUCUUAUUGUUGAACUGUCUCCCAUUGUCGGACACUAAGGAGUGGAGAAUGUCGAACCUGCAAAUGAUGUUCUUCUAGAUGGAUUUUAUAGUAUUCGUCUCGAUGAUCUUGGCAAGAAGUUCAGUUUUGACCUACUUAGUGAAGUAGUCAAUGGCGACAAUGGCGAAAGUCGUGCUUUCUCUUCCUUUUGGGAGUGGACCAAUGAAAUCGAUGCCCCAUUUGGCGAACGACCAAGGGCUGGUUACUACAGAGAGGCUUUGAGAAAGUUGUCUUUGAAUAUUUGAGAAGCGUUGGCACUUGUCACAUUUCUGGACAAAAUGACAAGCAUCCAUUUUCAGGGUCGGCCAGAAGUAGCCUUGUAGGAGUACUUUGUGUGCCAAAGCUGUUCCUCCGGAAAGUGAUUCCCGCAGAUUUCCUCAUGGAUUUUCCUGAGUAUAUACAUGGCCUCUUCGCCUCCUACACAUCGGAGAAGUGGCGAGGCGAAGCCUCUUUUGUAGAGGACAUCUUCUUCUAGGACGAAGUAUGCAGCCCUUCUCCUUAACUUCCUUGCCUCGCUUCUAGAAGCUGGUAGUGAAUGAUCCUUUAGAUAGGCGAUGAUGGGUUGCAUCCAUAAUGGGGUGCCUUCUUUCCAUAGCACGUCAUCACCUCCGGAUAUGGAGGGCUUCGACAAGUGUUCAAUGGGGCAACCUUUAGUAGCUCUGAAUCCUUACUGCUGGCCAGUUUUAACAGGGCAUCUGCAUGAGUAUUCUCUAGGCGUGGGACUUGAAUCGGCUCGAACCUUUCAAAAUGAGAAACUAGGUCCAGAACCAAUUUUAAGUAUGCAACCAUGCUACUGUCCUUGGCCGCGAAGUUUCCAUUGACCUAACUCACUACAAGCUGAGAAUCACUACUUACCUAGAGCCAUCUGACCUGCAUUUCCUUUGCAAGUCUAAGGCCUGCUAGAAGGGCCUCAUAUUCAGCAGUGUUGUUCGAGGCUUUGAAGUCGAACCUUACUGCGCAAUUUAGCUUGUAGCCUUCGGGGCUUUCCAAGACGAUCCCUGCCCUGGAGCUAGCCUUUUCUGAGGAUCCAUCUACGUACAGUUUCCACGUUGGGGGCUCGGUUGGUUCCAUUAUCGCCUCCAUUUCUGGGGCUUUAGCAAACUUAGCCACAAAAUUUGGAAGGGUCUGGCCCUUGAUGGCAUGUUGAGGUCGAAACAGUAGGUCGAACUUACUGAGCUCGAUCGCCCAUUUUAGCAGGCGUCCUGAUGCAUCUGUUCUCUGUAGCACUUGCUUCAAUGGGAAGUUGGUGUGAACUUCAAUUGAGUGGGCCUGGAAGUAUGGCCUCAGUUUCCUUGAGGUUGUGAUGAGGGUAAGUGCCAAUUUCUCCAUGUCUAGGUAGCGUGUCUCAGUUGGGAGGAGUGCUUUACUGACAUAGUAUACCGGCAACUGGUCCUUAUUCUCUUCUCUGACUAGGACUGCACUGAUCGCCUCGUCUGAGACCUCCAAGUACAGGAGUAGUGAUUUUUUUGGUUGAGGUUUGGAUAUAGGGGCGCUCUCCUAAGUGCCUCUUGAGAAUUGGAAGGCUUCUUCACACUCAAAAGUCCAUUGAAACUUCUUUCCUUACUUCAGCACAUUGAAAAAGGGUAAGUUCUUAUCUGUAGCCUUGGAGAUGAAGCGACUGAGUGCGGCUAUCCGACCAUUAAGGCUUUGGACCUCCUUUGGUUUCUGGGGUAACCUCAUUUCAAGCAAAGCCAUUAUCUUCACUGGGUUCGCUUCAAUUCCUCUUUGGUUUACAAUAUAUCCCAAAAACUGACCCAAAGCCACUCCAAAGGUGCACUUGAGAAGAUUCAACUUCAUUUUAUAUUUUCUAAGUAUCUGAAAUGUUUGGUCGAGGUGACUUACGUGUUUGUUUGCCUAGAGGCUUUUUACUAGCAUGUGGUCAACGUAGACCUCCAUAGCUUUGCCAAUGAGUUUGGCAAACAUCAUGUUGACCAGCCUCUGAUAUGUAGCUCCGGCAUUUUUCAAUCCGAAGGGCAUGACUUUGUAGCAGUACAGUCCUUUGUCUGUGAUGAAUGAUGUAGCCUCCUCAUCAGGUCGGAACAUGGGUAUUUAGUUGUACCCUGAUUAUGCAUCAAUGAAGCUCAAAAAUUCAUGUCCAGCGGUGGAAUCCACAAAUUGGUCUAUCCUUGGAAGUGGGAAGCUGUCUUUAGGGUAUGCCUUAUUCAAGUUUGUGAAGUCUAUGCACACCCUCCACUUUUCGCUAGGCUUCUUCACCGGGACUGGGUUGGAUAUCCACUUCGGAUAGAUGGCUUCUCUGAUGAAGUCGCUGUGGCUAAGCUUGUCUACUUCAUCUUUGAGUGCCUCGUACCGCUUCGGGUUGAGAGCAUGUCUUUUCUAUCGAUGUUGGGUACAAGAGGAGUUGAUGUUAAGAUGAUGGCAACUAAUCCUUGGAUCUAUUCCUACCAUGUCUUCAUGCUUCCAAGCGAAGACAUCCAAGUUUCUUUUUAGGAAGCUCACCAUUUCUUCUUUUACAUCGAGGGACAAUACCUUCCCUAUUCGCAAGACCUGAUUGGGGUCCUCUGGGUUGGUGGAGAAAGUUUCAAGUUCUUCCAUUGGGGUUGCAUUUGGCUCAGAGUCAAUUAUCCGGGGAUCUAACUCAUCAAGAGGGUGCUCUUCUUCAGGAGCCUUUUCCAUGUUGACGUCUUUCUCCUGUUCGGAGGUAUGCCCUUGUUCAGGACCGUCAAGUAUUUUCACAUCCAAAUUGGCCUCAUCGAUAACUUCAGUUAUGAUCACGUUAACAGUUCAGGGAUCCAAUUUUCGCAGAGAGUUUAAGUAACAUACCCCGAAGCCCAUCUGAUCGCCUCAGACCGUAGCAAUUUCAUGUUCAAUUGGAAAUUUCAUACACAAGUAGUGGAUGGAGGUGACAGCCCAAAGAUCUUUCAAGGCGGGUCUGCCUAAUACUCCAUGGUAGGCCAAUCCGUGGUCUACCACUAAGAAUUUCAUGAAGUGUCGGGCCACUAGGGGAGCCGAACCCAUCUCAACGGGCAGAGUGAUCCGCCCUCGUGGGACAAUGCUGUUUCUAGUAAAUUCGAAUAGUGGGUCGGUCAUGGGGACCAGCCCAUGUUAAAUUUGCAUUUUGUCGAAGGUGGAGCCGAGUAGUAUAUUCACCGAACUGCCAUUGUCGACGAGCAUGUGUUUGAGUUCGUUUCUUGCCACUAUGGCUCUCAUAACCAAUGUGUCACAAUGGGGGUGGUGAACUCCUUAUGCAUUUUACUGGGAGAAGGUAAUUGGGGCCAUCAUGUUGGCCUAUUGGGACUCGUUGACAAUGUAAGUGAGUAUUGGCGGGUCCUUUGCUUCCCUUAUGUAAUUCCUUUGGGCGUUCCUGAUGUUGCCGCCGAGUGAGGUUCCCCAAUGAUUGUAUCAAUUUCCCUUAUGAUUUGGCCUCUAGAAAAUGGGGCUUGAUUUCUCUGUCCGGACUCUCCUCUUCAUCGGCCUGUUUGGGGAGACAGAUCUCCGGGGAUGUUCAUCCUUCCUGGAGGAGUGUGGUUUAUUCCGAUCUGAGCCUUGCGGGGUGUCUUUGCAUUCGCUGGUGUCAUGUCUAUAGAGUUGGUGGAAGUUGCAGAAACUUGCCCCUUCCAAGGGCCUGUUUGACCGCUUCUUCUUCUUCUUUUUAUUACUAUCAGAUCCUCCAGAUGGCCCUACUUUGCCAGGGGAAUUCUCGUAUGCCAAUACCGGCACUGCAUUUAGCGUGGCAGAAGCCAGUGCUUGUUCGGAGGUGGGACCUAUUGUAUGACCUGCUUGAGUCCAUUGCUGAGUGACAAGGUGCGCUGUGGGUCCUCAACCUACCUACCUUUGAGACAGAGGGAGUCCCCGUACUGCAUGGUUUCGAUAAUCAAUCAUCUCUUCACUGACGAUCUCAACUCUCAUCAUUUCUACCAGCUCGUCAUAAGUGGAGGGAUUUUUGCUGAGCACAUCCCUCCAGAAUAAAGUGUUCAUGUUGAGGUCGCCUUUCAGAGCUGAAAGGGCUUCUCUGUUAGUGACCUACUCGCAGUACGUGAUUUCGUCUAUAAACCUGGUGAGAUAGCUUUUCAGCGUCUCUCCAGGGGCCUGUCUUAUACCUUGCAGGCAUUGCACUAGGACCUCUCCUUCUCUGCAUGAGAGGUACUGGUUCAAAAAUGCCUUCUUUAAAUCUGGCCAACUCUUAAUGCUCAGGGGAGGAAGUCUGCUGUACCACACUUCAGCAGCUUCGCCCAGGGUUAGGUGGAAGGCUCUGCAUUUCAAAGUAGGCGAGGCUCCCAUGAGGCUUAUCUGUGUCAUGUACUUGGUGAGGUUCUUCUUCGGGUUCCCCUUUCCUUCAUACUUGGGGAUCUUAGGAGGCAUGAAAUUCGCAGGCAUUGGGAAGUUUCGAAUUUCCCUUGAGAAAGGGAGGUUAUCAUCAUCAUCGUCAAUUUCAUAGGAUCGACAAGGCCCAUCUGACCCUUCAUCAUCUUGAAUGUUCUGGGGAGGUGGAGGUGCUUCUCCUCGACUGCCCCAAUCAACUAAGUCCCUUCUUUCCUUCCUAUUUCUAGGAGGAGGAGGUGCUUGUUCUUGCUCCUGUUCUUGCCAAACUGAUCUUCGUACUGAGUGGACCCUAUUACUAGGGUCCUACCCCAUUUGGUUGAAGACACUGAUUGACCUUUGUGCUUCAUAUCCUUGAGGAAAAUUGUACCCCAAUUGUUGUUCUGCUGGCUGGCUCUCUUGCACAUAGGAUGUGGCUUUUGCACCCACUUCUCUUUCGAAGGGGCAUUCUCUGUGCUGGCUCACAUGGCCUCGGGAACGAGACGCAGGGGUUUCCUAAACUGGGAAGAUCCUUGGGGCAUUUGAGAGCCCUGGUGACCUCGAGCUUGCAUGAGAAGUUCAUGCAUCGCCAUAUUAUGGGCUGCGAUGUCUCUCAUGCCCGCAGCUAUUUGAGCCAUUCCUUCAGUAAGUAUGGUUGUUUUUUCACCUCGGUUACGCCGGUGAUGUGGUCUCUGGUGAGUGACAUUGUUACGGAGCACCUCUUUUUCAGAGGCCUCUCUCAUAGGGUUCUCGUCUUCAUGGCUGGAACUCUUCUUAUAUCUUUUUUCAAGGGUGAUAAGAACUUGAAUUAUAACUCAACUUUGCUCUUUUUCAAGAACGUGCCCUUUUCAGGGUAAGUCACUAGUUUUCCGGUGGUUUCUCUGAUGGAGAAUGCAAAACUUUGGAUGGGAAGUUUCCCACAGAUAGCGUCAAUUUGUUGACCUCGCAAAUUGGACCCUCCACGUGGCCAACCGAUAGCUACUCCACGUAUUCAUCCCUGCUCACAAUCAAUGCAUGGUCAGAUGCACACAGCCGGAACCAACGAGGGUGGCAGCGGCCGCAUACACUCCGACGAUCAAGUUAGCUCCUGGUGAUCGGAAUAGUGCCAAGGUUGUGCAAAAAGGGUGGGGAGGAGAAUAUAUAUUUGUUUGUUAUGAAGUGUUAAGUUGUAAGAGUUUCAUUAUCUUUGCCUCUAGUCAAACCUUGGGUAUUUAUAGUUGAGGAGAACCGUUGGAUGUGGAACACGUGUAUGCAUCUGACGAUGUGAGGCGUCUGCUCAUAGGCGUCAAUCAGCUGCGUCUAUAGAGUGGGCGGGUAAUUACAUCUCCCAAAUUGAGUUGACAUAAAAUUGAUACGUCACAUCAACUAAGCUCAUGGAAACGUCAAAUCAAUUAAACCUUGGGGUCAGAAAGGAUCUUGACACGGAUCUCUUUCUGAAAUUGGCCGUGUAUCCUCUGACAGAGAACCUCGGAAUGUACUGCGCCUCGACUUCAGGGGCGAGAGGCUUCGAUCGGAUCAGUAGAUUGUCUGUGCCUCACAGUGCGUUAGCAAAUCGACAACAUUAGUGGUGACGUCACUUCGAAACCACUUCGGAUGGGUGUUGAACACCUCGUAUAAUGCGGUGGUAAACUUUUCGAAGUGGUUCAGAUAGGGGCGUAACAGUAUUGUCAAUAAAGGAUGUUUUAGUUGCGUGUUUCCUGCAACAACUUUAUUGGGAUGUUCGGGGAAGCUCGAGUCAAUAAGAUAAUUUACUCCUCGUUCUUCAUAUGCCUAUCGACUGUAUUUCGAUGUUUGGCUUCCUCAACUUAAUGGGAUAGCUUGCUAAAUUUUUUUGCAGAUGAAACUGUUUUUAACUGAAACAGAUGCUACAAUUUGGUCUAAAACACUGCCAAUGGGCUGCAAAGAAUCAACAUAAUGUUUUGUACUAUCUGCCUAAUGACAACAGUAAUUUCUUCCUUAUUCAGUUUCUAAUUUGGCUUCAUUACUUAUGUUCACAGCCUUAAGCGUGUAUUUUUCUAGGAGUGACACUUUAUAAAAACUAGGGAUGGCAAUAAGAGGGGUUCGAGUCUGAGCGGGUUCUCCCUUCCCCGUCCCAUCAGGCAAUUUCUCGUCCCGUUACCCGUUUAAAGCGGGGAUCGUUUGCAUACCUCUUUUUUUAAUAAUUCAUUUUAUUACCCACAUUCAUUAAAGUGAGACAAUACUAUAGUUAUUGAAGUUUUUAAUUAAUUUAUUUAUUUUUAAAAGUUAAAUUAUUCGAACACAUUUGGUAAACUAAGGUCUUUAUUAUUUAUCAUAUUUUUUAGAUAAUCUUAGUUGUCAUCUUCUAUUAGAAUUAAUGAAAUUUCAUGGAGUUUUUUUAUUUAAAGUAUUGAAUUCUUAACAACAAAAAAUUAAACGGGAUGAGAUGGGGCAGGUAUGGGUGGCAGGUAUUACCCAUACUUGCCUCGAGGCGAAAUUCCCCUACACAAACCUGACCCAAAUGCCUAAUUAAUCAGUAAUCCCUGCCUCGUUCAGGACAUGGCCGCGAGUAUCAGGCUUGAAGAAUUUUUUUGCCAUUUCUAAAUAGGUUAAAUUUCACGUCUAAUAAAGAUGUAAAAUAAAAGGGUCCGAACUACUACUCACAAGAAUUAGUUAUUCCUCACUCGUCCUCCACCUUGCAUUUCUAGCCUCCCUCGUUUGUUUGCAUCCCAACCUUCCUUUACCGACGCCGCUCCCCCAAAUUCCUUUGUCCACUAUCCCUCUGCUUGAGUGAUUCGCGAUGUUAGAGCAGGUGAUUUUUGGGGGAGGAAAGAGAAAGAUGGAAGGAAAUGAGAGGAGGGAAUACUAAAAUGGGGAGAUGAAAAUAAGGGAUGUAAUCAUUUCAAUAAUCAAGCAUUUUUCAUCACCCCACACAAGUGGGAUAGUUGUGAAUAAAAUGUUGUG
rnacentral:lncRNA from 1 species